GAUGGACGCUGGCGGCGUGCCUAAUACAUGCAAGUCGAGCGAACAGACGAGGAGCUUGCUCCUUUGACGUUAGCGGCGGACGGGUGAGUAACACGUGGGUAACCUACCUAUAAGACUGGGAUAACUUCGGGAAACCGGAGCUAAUACCGGAUAAUAUUUCGAACCGCAUGGUUCGAUAGUGAAAGAUGGCUUUGCUAUCACUUAUAGAUGGGCCUGCGCCGUAUUAGCUAGUUGGUAAGGUAACGGCUUACCAAGGCAACGAUACGUAGCCGACCUGAGAGGGUGAUCGGCCACACUGGAACUGAGACACGGUCCAGACUCCUACGGGAGGCAGCAGUAGGGAAUCUUCCGCAAUGGGCGAAAGCCUGACGGAGCAACGCCGCGUGAGUGAUGAAGGUCUUCGGAUCGUAAAACUCUGUUAUUAGGGAAGAACAAACGUGUAAGUAACUGUGCACGUCUUGACGGUACCUAAUCAGAAAGCCACGGCUAACUACGUG
rnacentral:rRNA from 1 species